rnacentral:rRNA from 1 species
UGGGGAAUAUUGGACAAUGGGCGCAAGCCUGAUCCAGCCAUGCCGCGUGAGUGACGAAGGCCUUAGGGUUGUAAAGCUCUUUUGGCGGGGACGAUAAUGACGGUACCCGCAGAAUAAGCCCCGGCUAACUUCGUGCCAGCAGCCGCGGUAAUACGAAGGGUGCUAGCGUUGUUCGGAAUUACUGGGCGUAAAGCGCACGUAGGCGGAUUUGUUAGUCAGGGGUGAAAUCCCGGGGCUCAACCUCGGAACUGCCUUUGAGACUGCAAGUCUCGAGUCCGGAAGAGGUGAGUGGAAUUCCUAGUGUAGCGGUGAAAUUCGUAGAUAUUAGGAAGAACACCAGUGGCGAAGGCGGCUCACUGGGCCGGUACUGACGCUGAGGUGCGAAAGCGUGGGGAGCAAACA